rnacentral:rRNA from 1 species
UGGGGAAUAUUGCACAAUGGGCGCAAGCCUGAUGCAGCGACGCCGCGUGAGGGAUGACGGCCUUCGGGUUGUAAACCUCUUUCAAUAGGGACGAAGCGCAAGUGACGGUACCUAUAGAAGAAGGACCGGCCAACUACGUGCCAGCAGCCGCGGUAAUACGUAGGGUCCGAGCGUUGUCCGGAAUUACUGGGCGUAAAGAGCUCGUAGGUGGUUUGUCGCGUUGUUCGUGAAAACUCACAGCUUAACUGUGGGCGUGCGGGCGAUACGGGCAGACUAGAGUACUGCAGGGGAGACUGGAAUUCCUGGUGUAGCGGUGGAAUGCGCAGAUAUCAGGAGGAACACCGGUGGCGAAGGCGGGUCUCUGGGCAGUAACUGACGCUGAGGAGCGAAAGCGUGGGGAGCGAAC